GAAAAUCUUUCCGUUUGCAUUUCCAAAGACGCUGGUCGUUGGAGAACGAGUCGGCAUUGCCUGCACAACAUUAAGUGGGGACAAGCCAUUCAAGUUCCUCUGGAUAAAAGAUGGAUCAGCGCUUCGCGAAGAAGCAAACAUCAAAACUGCCACAUUCCCAGAGUACUCCAUGUUACAUAUUGAGAGUGUCAGCUUGUCCAACGCUGGAAAUUACACGUGUGUGGUCAGCAACUCGGCUGGCACUGUGUCCAGUGGUGCUACCCUAGAAGUCAGAGCUCCCCCAGGAUGGACAUUUGAACCAGAGGACAUAACUGUCACGGCAGGACAAGAAGUGACCUUACGUUGCGAGGGUACAGGGUACCCUCAUCCUACUGCGACUUGGACACGAGACAGUGAAGUUGCUCCGGGGAAGGAAAAAUAUCGAGAUAAUAUACUACACUUUCCAGCAGUGUCGAAAAGUGACGAAGGAGCCUACACCUGUCAGCUGAGCAAUGGGAUUGGAAAAGACCUCCUCAAGACCGUCUCACUCGCAGUGAAACGUAAUGACCAGGAUGUUGUCACUGUACUGGGUUGCUCGUCCAGAUGCGACGGUUUCUCCUUUAGGCACACAAGCAACACUGAACACGAAAUUAGUCUUGUCUACUGCUUGCACCGGCGUUGUUUGAAACAAGACUAUAAUGCCACGAUUAGAUGCAUUCCGAAGAGUACCUGUCCAAUAUAGCUCAUACAGACACAUAGCAAAGCCGACUGUGGCGCUGCGUUGGGUGCCCCUGCAAAUUACAUCUCCCGCUUGU